GCGUCUGUAGCUCAGUGGAUAGAGCGUUGGACUCCGACUCCAAAGGCCAAGGGUUCAAAUCCCUUCAGACGUACCA
rnacentral:tRNA from 1 species